AUACGAACGGUGCAAGCGUUGUUCGGAUUUACUGGGCGUAAAGAGAGUGUAGGUGGUUUAUUAAGUCGGAUGUGAAAUCCCGGGGCUCAACCUCGGAACUGCAUUCGAUACUGAUAGGCUAGAGUUUGGGAGGGGUAAGCGGAAUUCCGUGUGUAGCAGUGAAAUGCGUAGAUAUACGGAGGAACACCUGAGGCGAAGGCGGCUUACUGGACCAAUACUGACACUGAGACUCGAAAGCGUGGGUAGCAAACAGGAUUAGAUACUCUAGUAGUCC
rnacentral:rRNA from 1 species